GACAUACUCCCUCCGUCCCAUAUUAAGUGACUUUCUAUUACAUGUAUUUAGACGCUUUUUAUGCAUAGAUACAUUCAUAUUUGGACAAAUUAGAGUCACUUAAUAUGAGACGGAGGGAGUAGUAC
rfam:Brachypodium distachyon strain Bd21 chromosome 1, whole genome shotgun sequence.